GGGCUGCAGUCGAGAAUCUUUCCCAAUGGGCGAAAGCCUGAGGAUGCGACGCCGCGUGGAGGAUGAAGCGUUUCGGCGCGUAAACUCCUUUUAUCAGGGAGGAAUGGUCCGUAGUUAAUAUCUCCGGAAUUUGACUGUACCUGAUGAAUAAGCCACGGCUAACUCCGUGCCAGCAGCCGCGGUAAUACGGAGGUGGCAAGCGUUACUCGGAUUGACUGGGUGUAAAGGGUCCGUAGGCGGUCUUAUAAGUGAAAGGUGAAAUCCUUCAGCUCAACUGAAGAACGCCCUUUCAAACUGUUUGACUAGAGGUUGGAAGAGGAGAGCGGAACUGCUAGUGUAAGGGUGAAAUCUGUGGAUAUUAGCAGGAACGCCUGUGGUGAAGACGGCUCUCUGGUCCAAUCCUGACGCUCAGGGACGAAAGCUAGGGGAGCAAACAGGAUUAGAUACCCUGGUAGUC
rnacentral:rRNA from 1 species